ACAACAAUGUAAAUUAAUUAAAUAAUUAAGUUAGGUAGGAUAUUUGAUUAAUUUAUAUUGAGCAGUUCGAAUCACUAUAAACUCUUAAAUCAAGGAUUAUUUAAUCUAGGGUUCAAGUAAAAAGAUGUUUAUCCUAUGCUACUCAAUCAUUCAUUUGAAAUCAUCGAGACCGCCAUUUUGCUUCUCAUAAAAACAAAGGGUUAAUCUAUGUCUUCUUAAUUUUGGAUUCGCAGUUGAUUUUAAAUGGUUGAUUAUUUAUCAAUUUCUGACUGAAUAUUUUGGGCAUGGGUCAGCUCAUUGUUGUAAAUAAACGUUAAAUUUAAUAUUUUGAACUCAGACCCGGCCAUGAGCAUUGUUUUGAAAAUAAUGCAUAACAAGAAAAAUAAAAUUGCUGUUGAAUGCGUUCGAGUACGAGUCUUAAUAACAAUUUAAUAAAUCCAUUGUAUCAGUGUUGAUUUUGCAAGCACUGAAUCAAACCUAGUAGGCCAAUGGUUUGAAAUGAUGAUCAUUGAGUACUUAAUUCGAUGUCAACAAUUCUGGUUAUGGGUCUAAUCUUAAACCACUUUUGUGUUUAAACUGAAAAAGAUAAGACAAAUGCAAAUUUACGAUUCAUACAAGAGUUUAAUUGAGUUUAUUCAUCUUUUAUGAAAUGCUUGGUUAUUGGAUAGACGUCGACUUAUUAUAAAUUCAUUAUGGUGAUCCAAACUUAUACAAAUAUCUAGUAGUUGGCAGUUGGUUCCGAUUCUCGCAGAAUAAAAUAAAUCAAUAAAAUACAUGGAAGGAUAUUUGAUAAAAAUGAUUUAAUGAUUUAAUGAUAAAAAAGUACGUUCUACGGUCAAAAGAAAAUGAGAUUUUCUUUCAUUUUGCUUUGUUUCUCACUACUUUGAUAAAAGGGAAAUUACAGGAGAAGAGAUUUAACAGUUUAACAUUAUAAAUAGCAAUUAUCAAUUGUAUUAAUAAUAAAUUUAUAACAUUAUUAUUUGUUGUUUGUUUCUUUAAUAAUGGUUGUUUUUGUUAUAUAUAUUUACAAUAAAAUUUGUUUGUUUUACGAAGUAAUUUGGUUUUGUUGCGAAAAAAUUUGUAUUACUUUUUGUCUUGAGAAGGUUUUACAGAAUAUCAAUUUGGAGUAAUAAUAAUCAUAU